GGCGCAGUGGCAGAGUGGUUAUUGCGUGUGACUAGAAUAUGCUUCUGGCCUAUCAUAUUCCUUCGGGAGCGCCUGUUCGAAUCAGGCCUGCGUCG